rnacentral:rRNA from 1 species
CAAUAGCGUAUAUUAAAGCUGUUGCGGUUAAAAAGCUCGUAGUUGGAUUUCUGUCAAGGACAACUGGUCCGCCCUUCGGGUGAGCACAUAGUUUGGUCUUGGCAUCUUGUUGGAAACUGUUGCUGCACUUGGUUGUGUGGCGCAGCGUCCAGCACUUUCACUUUGAGGAAAUUGGAGUGUUUCAAGCAGGCACAUGCCUUUGGACACAGUAGCAUGGAAUAAUUAGAUUGGGCUUUUGCUCCAACUUGUCGGUUUCUGGAGCUGAGGUGAGAAUUAAUGGGGAUUGUUGGGGGCAUCCGAAUUUAGCCGUCAGAGGUGAAAUUCUUGGAUCUGCUAAAGACGGACAACUGCGAAAGCGUUUGCCUAGGAUGUUUUCAUUGA